rnacentral:misc_RNA from 1 species
CCAAUAGCGUAUAUUAAAGUUGUUGCAGUUAAAAAGCUCGUAGUUGAAUUUCGGGAUUGGCGCAUCGGUCGUGCCUCACGGGGUAUGAACUGGUGCAGUCAAUUUCUCACCUUCUGGAGAACCGCGAUGUCCUUAAUUGGAUGCCGCGGGGAACCAGGACCUUUACUUUGAAAAAAUUAGAGUGUUUAAAGCAGGCAUUUUUGCUUGAAUACAUUAGCAUGGAAUAAUAAAAUAGGACGGCAUGGUUCUAUUUUGUUGGUUUCUAGGACCACCGUAAUGAUUAAUAGGGAUAGUUGGGGGCAUUAGUAUUCAAUUGUCAGAGGUGAAAUUCUUGGAUUUAUUGAAGACUAACUACUGCGAAAGCAUUUGCCAAGGAUGUUUUCAUUAAUCAAGAACGAAAGUUAGGGGAUCGAAGACGAUCAGAUACCGUUGUAGUCUUAACCAUAAACUAUGCCGACUAGGAAUCAGACGAUGUUAAUUUUUUAAUGACUCGUUUGGCACCUUACG